GGAGAGUGGCCUGGGCAACACAACAAGACCCCAUCUCUUAAAAAAAGAAAAUAGCAAAAGACAAAUCCUCCCUCAGGGCCACAUUCAGAAAUGGUAAAGAAGGCUGAAUGGUUUUAAGUCUAAAUCAGUAUGAUUUCCAACCAGGAUUAUUCAUCUGCCUUAGAAAUAGCAAUUUUUAUGAUUCUAUGAUACAAUUUGUCUGUGUCCCCACCCAAAUCUCAUCUUGAACUGUAGUUCCCAGAACUCCCAUGUGUCAUGGUAGGGACCCAGUGGGAGGUAACUGAGUCAAAGCCAUGGGAUCUGCCUGUGCUGUUCCCUUGAUAGUGAAUAAAUCUCAUGAGAUCUGGUGAUUUUAUAAAGGGCAGUUCCCCUGCACACGCUUUCUUGUCUGCUGCCAUGUAAGAUGUGCCUUUGCUCCUCCUUUGCCUUCUGCCAUAAUUUUGAGGCCUCCCCAGCCAGGUGAAACGACUGAGUUCAGUAAAUCUCUUUUUCUUUAUAAAUUACCCAGUCUCGGGUAUUUCUUCACAGAAGUAUGGGAAUGGAGUAAUAUGUUUUAUUUCUUCUUUCUCUGAUUCUCCUUAUUGAGGGUCUAACAUUUCCCCCCAGGUCAGAACAGAGAGUUGCAGUGGCCAUUUCUCCAAAAAGGAGACUGAAUGGGGCCCUUUAUGAAUAUGAACAAUGAGGCCUCCCAGGAAGAAUUGCUGCACGGGUGGGGGCAACGUAAGAAAUGAGGCAGCAGCUCUGGAUUUACAGAGGGGCAAAAGCAGACAGAUCUGCCUUCAAAUCCUGACUUGCUUCUGACAUAGCCUCUAACCUGCACCUUUACCCUUUAGAAAACAAGGAUCCCUUGAAGGAUCGUCAUGAAGAUUCAAGGAAAUAUGGCACAUGGUAAGCACCCAAGAAAUCCUAGUAGUUUGUGAUACGAUUUGUAUUCAGUCACUUGGUCAAGGUGCUUUCUGUGGACUACUAGAAACGGAGCAUUAACUUUUGGCCAGGAUCUCCAUUAUCUCCCUGCCUCUCUACCUCUGUGCCUCCUUCCCUCUCUUCCUCCUUCUCUCUCUUCUUUCCUUCCUCCCUUCCCCUCUUUCCUCUCUUUCCUUCUCCCUUUUUCUUUUUGCCUCCCUCCAUCUCCCUGUCAUCCUCCAUCUCCCUCCGUCUCUCCCUCUCUUCCUUCCAUCCUUCCCUUCCAUUCUGCUUAGUACUAGACAACCCACAGAGUCCCUUGUCCACAAUAUUAAGCAAUAAGCAUUAGGUCUCAGUGUUCCUCAUGCCACAUCUCUCAGAUGAAUGGGUCAGAGCCCUUCCCAGGUCCUGACCGGUUGUCACUGGUGUGGGUGUGCUCUGAUCAGCUUCAUCUCCUCUACAACAGCCCACUGCCUUGCCUGUCCUAGGUUCUGACCGCCAGAUCAACAACCUAAGACUUCUGUUCCCUUGGAGAAAGACUCACUUAAUGGAAAGGCAGCUCCACCAGCAGUACAAAUUGAACAUCCUCAUCCUGAGCCCCAAAGGUCCAUACUAGAAAAGGAGGAAGUUUAGCUCACCCUCUUAAAUUACCAGGUGAUCAUUUGCAAACAAAACUCCCUCAUAAAACACUUCUUUAAACUCUUUACUUGAUCAUAAACCCUAACCUAACACACAUCAGCCCUGGGAUGAAGUAAGCAUUAGAAUUACCCAAGUUUUAUGGAGCAGAGUGAGAGCCAGAUGACAGAGUAUCAGCCAACAGAUUCUAACAGUCACAGAAUCAAAAAAGAUUUAUUGAGAACCUACUAUGUGCCAGAUUCGUAAGAUGCUUCAGUGUAUGUGAUCUCAUUACCUCAUCUCAUUUUUCUCUACUAUGCAUCCUGAUAAGCCAUAUCCUACUCAAAACAAUACAAAUGACCAGUUACAUGUUUAUCAAUAAUGACAGCUACUCAGCACAACUGGACAAUGCUGGAUAGCUGCUGCUUCUGUGAAUUUAAAGAAAAAUUUUGCUGCGAGGCAUGGAAAUAUCUCCAGUCUAUAUAAAUUAGCAGUUGGACACCCUAGGUUUCAAGGGUUAUCCUUUUUAACCAGCCUGGCAAUUCAUUAAGCAUCGGGUAAGAAUUUCUUCUAUUGCUUUUUACCACGGAUGGACAAUGCCUACCUAUACCUGCAAGGGCACCUCCAACAUGCGCAGUGCACCUAAAAUAGCCCUGCGUUAAGAAAAAUGCCAAGCUCAAGUGUAUAAUUCCUCAGUGCUGCCUGUUUAUUUUCUUUCGCGUUUUCACUCUGGCAUGCCAACCCCAAAUCUCCUACAGUAACACAGAAUUGCAGUGGGAUACGGAUCUGACAUGAAACAAAGACCUGCCCCUGCCUCAGCAAAGGCAAAUAAAACAAAAGAUCAAUGAGCCUCAAAGCCAGUGUGCAUAAAUGUCACUGCGCCUGCAAAGAGGAGAGAUCAGAGGACAUUUACAAAAUCACAGUCCUCCCACGGUGGUGGGAAAAGGUUACUGUAGUAUGUCCUAAGGGGUGAACAGCGUGCCCAAGGGAAACAGUAAGGACAGGGCAAGACCCAGGAAAGCAACAAAAAUUUAGAUGUUGUCUAUGUGGCUGCCCCAGUGCCCGCUGCCUCGUUUCUCAGAGCUAAUCAAGGGAAGCGUAACUAGUCCAGGCGGCAGGACGAGUUUACAACAACUGACAGUAACUAUAACAUACGCCAGUUUGUAUUAAGAUGUUAUUGCACCUUUCCAGUUCUAAUCACCAAUUAUGACUCUAUUACUCCUACUUGGCAGUUCAUCUGCUCCUGCCUCCGCUAAGGGCGACUUGGAGACGGACCUCUGAUCUCCCGGUUCCACUUCAGUGAGCGCUCAGCACGGCGGCUGUCAUUUGCAGACACUGAAGAGUGCGCUAAUAGAAUCACAGCCCUCGUUAGCUACUGAAUAAAAGAUCAAUCACAGACUUUGAAAGCUCCUGCUACCAGCUUCCAGAGGAAACAAGAAAAAAAAAAAAGAGCGUGAGCAAGAGAGAAAGAUAUUUAGGAUCAUCGCUGAGAUUCUGAAUGGCCUCGCUGCAAGUUGCUUAAAUUACCUUUUCCACAACUGACUCCAACUGUAAUACUCAGAGGAACUUGUUAAGCCUGCCUUCAAGAGCAGCAUUCUAAUAUAUGACUGCUAGACCCUGGUCAAAAGUUCAUAAUGUGCAUAUGUAAAAAGGUACUAAAUUGCCUGAGGGCUAAAACCAGAGGAGUUUAAUUGUAGCAAAAUGCUGAAAAUGGUCUGUUGAGGGUCCUUCCAUUGGGAUACUGCUGGCUCUAGCUGAUUGAAGUACAGAACAUAAAAGUCUUACAACAAUAUUUCCUUAAAUGCUGGGGAAACUGCCAGCAGUUGGUAUUGCAUGAAUGUUGUGGUUAAAGAAAAACAUUUUCCUCCCCUAAAAUAAAUAGAGUAUUAAAAACUG